AAACACAAAAGCUUUAUUUUAUCAAAACAAAUCAACAGUCUACCUCUAACAAUAAUCUUCAAGAGUAACUGCAUUGUAAAUAACCAUAAACGAUCCGAUCAGAAUACAUUCAACAUAGCAUCGCUAUAGAAUGCAAUUAAAUGUAUAAUGUAAAUAAACAACUUAAAUUAUGCAACUCGCAAGAUGUAAAUGUCAUGUGGACACAGAAAAGGAACAGAGACAAGACAAACUAUUGCCUGGCGCUGAAGAGACGAGCCCUCACUCAACACAGCCCAGCUGCGGGGACCUCUCUCUAGCCCCACCAUGACGUAGACACAGGAGCCCUUCUUUUGAGAUGGAGUCUCGCUCUGUCACCCAGGCUGCAGUGCAGGGGUGCUAUCUUGGCUCACUGCAACCUCCGCCUCCUGGGUUCAACAAUUCUCCUGCCUCAACCUCCUGAGUAGCUGGGACUACAGGCGCCACCACGCCUGGCUAAUUUUUGUAUUUUUUAAUAGAAACGGGGUCUCAUCNNNNNNNNNNAAUAUCCACAUGCCUGGGCCUCCCAGAGUGCUGGAUCACAGGCAUGAGUCAUUGCGCCAGGCCUGGGAGCCCUUCUUGGAAGAGGUCCUUGUUUGUUGCAGCAACCUUAGCUUGUUCUCUAGUCAGACUCCUGCCUGGGUCAACAGCAGCAAUUCCCCAACAGCUUGGACCAGGUACAAAGUCAGGACCCUGUGGAUCUAUUUCACUAAGGUCUGCUCACUCCUAGAGGGCCAAAGAGCCACUGACCCUGGCCACUGCAACGCUGAGGACGGGACCUGGAACUCGGGUCCCCCAAAGGCAGGGCCCAGGACCCUGGAACUCAGGUCCCCCGAAGGCAGGGCCCAGAACCCUGGAACUGGGGUCCCCCGAAGGCAGGGCCCAGAACCAGCCCUGUGACUGACACCUUCUUCCUUUUAGGCCACUGAGGGGCUGACUGAACUCCCGCAUUCAAAUCACACAUCUAGUUCCAGCCAACCACGAUGGCUUGCUGCAGGCCACUGCCACGACCACACAGACAGGAUCACAGCAGGCUGGCUGUCCUGAGGGACUGCAUAUGCUGGCGCUAACACGCCGGCUCCUCCCUAGUCACCCGGUCCACAGAAGUAUAUUCACCCGGUCCACAGAAGUAUAGUCACCCGGUCCACAGAAGUAUAUUCACCUGGUCCACAGAAGCAUAGUCACCUGGUCCGCAGAAGUAUAUUCACCCAUUCCACAGAAGCACAGUCACCCAGUCUGCAGAAGUAUAUUCACCAAGUCCACAAAGGUAUAGUCACCCAGUCCACAAAAGUAUGUUCACCCAGUCCAUGGAAGUAUAGUCACCCAGUCUGCAGAAGUACAUUCACCCAGUCAGCAGAAGUAUAUUCACCCAGUCCGCAGAAGUAUAGUCACCUAGUCCGCAGAAGCAUGGUCACCCGGUCGGCUGAAGUACAUUCACCCAGUCCGCAGAAGUAUAGUCACCCGGUCCACAGAAGUACAGUCACCCGGUCCACAGAAGUAUAUUCACCCGGUCCACAGAAGCAUAGUCACCUGGUCCGCAGAAGUAUAUUCACCCAGUCCACAGAAGUAUAGUCACCCAAUCCACAGAAGUAUAAUCACCCAGUCCACAGAAGUAUAUUUCUU
rnacentral:lncRNA from 1 species